rnacentral:rRNA from 1 species
AGUCGAGGGGCAGCGCAGUUGUAGCAAUACAAUGGCGGCGACCGGCGGACGGGUGCGUAACACGUAUAUAACCUACCUGUUAUUGCGGGAUACUUCGGAGAAAUUCGGACUAAUACGGCAUAAUAUAUAAAAGAGGCAUCUCUUUUAUAUUAAAGAAAAUUUGAUAACAGAUGGGUAUGCGCAAGAUUAGAUAGUUGGUGGGGCAACGGCUCACCAAGUCGGCGAUCUUUAGGGGUUCUGAGAGGAAGGUCCCCCACACUGGUACUGAGACACGGACCAGACUCCUACGGGAGGCAGCAGUGAGGAAUAUUGGUCAAUGGGCGAGAGCCUGAACCAGCCAAGUCGCGUGAAUGAAGAAGGCGAUACAACGUUGUAAAGUUCUUUUGCAGGGGAAUAAAAAGAGGCACGCGUGCCUUAUUGUAUGUACCUUGCGAAUAAGGAUCGGCUAACUCCGUGCCAGCAGCCGCGGUAAUACGGAGGAUUCGAGCGUUAUCCGGAUUUAUUGGGUUUAAAGGGUGCGUAGGCGGUUUAAAAAGUUAGAGGUGAAAGGUUUGUGCUUAACAUAGACAUUGCCUUUAAAACUGUUAGACUUGAGUGUAAAUGAGGCAGGCGGAAUGUGGAGUGUAGCGGUGAAAUGCUUAGAUAUUCCACAGAACACCGAUUGCGAAGGCAGCUUGCUGGGAUACGACUGACGCUGAGGCACGAAAGCGCGGGGAUCAAACAGGAUUAGAUACCCUGGUAGUCCGCGCAGUAAACGAUGAUUACUAACUGUUUGCGAUAUAGUGCAAGUGGUUAAGCGAAAGCGAUAAGUAAUCCACCUGGGGAGUACGACCGCAAGGUUGAAACUCAAAGGAAUUGACGGGGGCCCGCACAAGCGGAGGAACAUGUGGUUUAAUUCGAUGAUACGCGAGGAACCUUACCCGGGCUUGAAAUGGAGUGGAAUAAUUUGGAAACAGAUUAGUCAGUUAAUGACCACUUUGUAGGUGCUGCAUGGUUGUCGUCAGCUCGUGCCGUGAGGUGUCGGCUUAAGUGCCAUAACGAGCGCAACCCUUGUCAUUAGUUACCAUCGUGAAAGACGGGGACUCUAAUGAGACUGCCACCGUAAGGUGCGAGGAAGGUGGGGAUGACGUCAAAUCAGCACGGCCCUUACGUCCGGGGCGACACACGUGUUACAAUGGUUAGUACAGAGGGUUGCGAGACAGUGAUGUUAAGCUAAUCUCAUAAAACUAAUCUCAGUUCGGAUAGGAGUCUGCAACUCGACUCCUUGAAGCUGGAUUCGCUAGUAAUCGCGCAUCAGCCAUGGCGCGGUGAAUACGUUCCCGGGCCUUGUACACACCGCCCGUCAAGCCAUGGGAGUUGGGGGGACCUGAAGUACGUGACC